AUGUACCACGCCUACACUCCGUUUCCUCCGCGCCUCCACACCCGCCUGGCGACCUCGCUACGUUCUGUUAGCC
rnacentral:sRNA from 2 species